GACGGGUACAACGACUCUAUCAGCCGGCCUUGCCCGCACAUCUCCUCUAUCGAGAGGUCAAGUGUCCACGAAGCCACCCGUUGUGACCAAAGAAGGAGGUAACGGAGAUGUGGCUUUGGAGAUUCGGAGUCUUUAAUGGAUCUGUGUGAGUUUUAGGAAGCUUUUCCUUUUUUCAGUUAAAGUGUUUUUAUGGUGUGGAAUGUAGAGGUGGUUGAAAGUAGUGUGGACACUUUGGCCAUGAAUUCUUUUUUUUUUUUUUUUCUUUUUUUGGGAGCUGGGGACCGAACCCAGGGCCUUGCGCUUGCUAGGCAAGUGCUCUACCGGUGAGCUAAGUCCCCAACCCCGAAUUCUUUUUAUUUAUGAACCUAGGAUAUUUUUCAUCUAGAUGGUUUUUGUUUUAUGAAUUUCCUUAAUCAAUACUUCAUGACUUUUGGUACAUACAUAUUUUACCUUUUGGAUAAUUUGAAGAACUUCGUUUUUUUUUUCUGUUACUUAUGGAAAUAUGAUUGUUUUCUAGAUUUCCAUUUUGUGUGUAACUUUAUUAGUAUGUGAAUAACGACAGACUUUUAGAUAUUUAAUUUUUAACCGUAAACUUUAAUGAAUAUACUAUUUCUGA
rnacentral:lncRNA from 1 species